AACGCGAAUUCGAAUUCUCUUUUUUUUUGUUCAGUUUUUAGUUUGUGUCGCGCCUCCGUUUUGUAAAUACGCGAAAGACAUUUCGCCGAGUCAAAGUCGAGUCGAAAGAAAAGUAAACGGAAACAGCGGAAGUCACGGCACAAAUAGCCAUACACGGAUAAAAGCAGCAGCAGUAGCA